rnacentral:rRNA from 1 species
GACGAACGCUGGCGGCGUGCUUAACACAUGCAAGUCGAACGGAAAGGCCCUGCUUGCAGGGUACUCGAGUGGCGAACGGGUGAGUAACUCGUGGGUGAUCUGCCCUACACAUCGGGAUAAGCCUGGGAAACUGGGUCUAAUACCGGAUAGGAGCCAUUUUUAGAGUGUUUGUUGGAAAGGUUUUUCGGUGUAGGAUGAGCUCUCGGCCUAUCGGCUUGGUGGUGGGGUAAUGGCCUACCAAGGCGGAGACGGGUAGCCGGCCUGAGAGGGUGGACGGCCACAUUGGGACUGAGGUACGGCCCAGACGCCUACGGGAGGCAGCAGUGGGGAAUAUUGCACAAUGGGCGCAAGCCUGAUGCAGCGACGCCGCGUGGGGGAUGACGGGCUUCGGGUUGUCAAAUCCAUUCGCUAGGGACGAAGCUUUUUGUGACGGUACCUAGAGAAGAAGCACCGGCUAACUCCGUG